rnacentral:rRNA from 1 species
GACGAACGCUGGCGGCGUGCUUAACACAUGCAAGUCGAACGGAAAGGCCCUGCUUGCAGGGUACUCGAGUGGCGAACGGGUGAGUAACACGUGGGUGAUCUGCCCUGCACUUCGGGAUAAGCCUGGGAAACUGGGUCUAAUACCGGAUAGGAGCCAUUUUUAGUGUGAUGGUUGGAAAGUUUUUUCGGUGUAGGAUGAGCUCGCGGCCUAUCAGCUUGUUGGUGGGGUAAUGGCCUACCAAGGCGGCGACGGGUAGCCGGCCUGAGAGGGUGGACGGCCACAUUGGGACUGAGAUACGGCCCAGACUCCACGGGAGGCAGCAGUGGGGAAUAUUGCACAAUGGGCGCAAGCCUGAUGCAGCGACGCCGCGUGGGGGAUGACGGCCUUCGGGUUGUAAACUCCUUUCGCUAGGGACGAAGCUUUUUGUGACGGUACCUAGAUAAGAAGCACCGGCUAACUACGUG